GUGGUGACGCUGGCUGGUGAAGGCCCAAUACGAGCACACGGCUCAUAAUCGUGGUGUCGCGGGUUCGAGUCCCGCCCUCGCUACA
rnacentral:tRNA from 1 species